rnacentral:lncRNA from 1 species
GGACGGUGAUCACAAUGGUGUAAAAAUUACAUCGAACAGGAACCAGAAAGUGCCUCAUCGUAGGCAAAAAUUGAGGGAAGCCGCGGCGGCGCUGCUGGACUUCGGCGGUACUUUCUAUCCGAUUGGCCGGUGGUUUGGCUCCCUUUGGCUAUAGGUAGAUUUAGCAUCGAAAAACGAGCUAAGGGUAAAAAAUUUACCUUGUUUGGCGAUCGAAAAACCCUCCGGUGCGGCAGCGGGUGGCGGCGACCAGCUCCUCCAAUGACUGGUUCUUCUUCUUCGACGAGGGUACUAGCGGCUAGGGUUUGGGGUCGGGUGUGGGUGAGGUUAUUUAUAACCUUUCCUUUUUAAUCUCAGCUGUUCUUCACGAUUUAAUCUGGGCCAUCCGAUC